UGUUAAAAAAAGUAUAAAUUUCUGCUGUUAAAAUUUGGUGUGUUUGAUGGAAUAACUAGAUAGUUAUACGUGAAAUGUCACGAGUAGCUCAUGUUGAUGUACAGGGACCAAUUUUUAAUAGGAGAAAUGUAUGAAAAUUUUAACA
rfam:Gossypium hirsutum cultivar TM-1 chromosome 13, whole genome shotgun sequence